GACGAACGCUGGCGGCGUGCUUAACACAUGCAAGUCGAACGCUGAAGCUUGGUGCUUGCACUGGGUGGAUGAGUGGCGAACGGGUGAGUAAUACGUGAGUAACCUGCCCUUGACUCUGGGAUAAGCCUGGGAAACUGGGUCUAAUACUGGAUACGACAUGUCACCGCAUGGUGGUGUGUGGAAAGGGUUUUACUGGUUUUGGAUGGGCUCACGGCCUAUCAGCUUGUUGGUGGGGUAAUGGCUCACCAAGGCGACGACGGGUAGCCGGCCUGAGAGGGUGACCGGCCACACUGGGACUGAGACACGGCGCAGACUCCUACGGGAGGCAGCAGUGGGGAAUAUUGCACAAUGGGCGGAAGCCUGAUGCAGCGACGCCGCGUGAGGGAUGACGGCCUUCGGGUUGUAAACCCCUUUCAGCACGGAAGAAGCGAAAGUGACGGUACGUGCAGAAGAAGCGCCGGCUAACUACGUG
rnacentral:rRNA from 1 species